GACGAACGCUGGCGGCGUGCUUAACACAUGCAAGUCGAACGGAAAGGCCCUGCUUUUGUUGGGUGCUCGAGUGGCGAACGGGUGAGUAACACGUGAGUAACCUGCCCUUGACUUUGGGAUAACUUCAGGAAACUGUGGCUAAUACCUGGUAGGAGCUCCUGCUGCAUGGUGGGGGUCGGAAAGUUUCGGCGGUUGGGGAUGGACUCGCGGCUUAUCAGCUUGUUGGUUGGGUAGUGGCUUACCAAGGCUUUGACGGGUAGCCGGCCUGAGAGGGUGACCGGCCACAUUGGGACUGAGAUACGGACCAGACUCCUACGGGAGGCAGCAGGGGGAAAUAUUGCACAAUAGGCGGAAGCCUGAUGCAGAAACCGCGCGUGCGUGAUGACGGCCUUCGGGUUGUAAACCGCUUUCGCCUGUGACGAAGCGUGAGUGACGGUAAUGGGUAAAGAAGCACCGGCUAACUACGUG
rnacentral:rRNA from 1 species